CAAGUGUUGGCCCACAGAACCAUUUGUUUUCUUCUGGUACAAGAUCUAGGAUCUCAGCCAUUAAGGAAAACUUCCCAUAGAAACAGACCUGAAGAUCUCUUCAUCAUUAGACAACUCAUUGUGACAGUAGGAAUAUCCAGGCUAGAAGGCAGGGCAGAGUGUGAGCCACAUUGAACCGUUUCUAUUAAGAUGUUAUACUACCCUUUCAAGGAACAUCGAAAAGGAAAAAAAAAAAUCCAUAACUCUUGAGAUGUACCCAACAGGCUGACAAUUACAUAAGCUUUUGAAAGAAAACUGAGUUGAUGAUUUUCUAGGAGUCCCUCUCCUUGCUGCUUACCUUGGACUCUACUAGUUUCAGGAUGAAACCUUCAAUCAACCAGCAGCCUGUACAUUGGGGUGACACGGUAUCUUCUACAGAUGAAUUUGUCAGAAGUAAGAAUGGACUUAUUAACGAAUGUAUUGACCAUGUUGAUUACAAAGUGUUUGGAGAUGAUCAAGAUGGAACUUGAUAAAGCAUCUGGAAAUGGAAAAUUCUCACAGUAGGACCUGCUGACUUGAUUGCUUCAUCACCAUGGCAACGUUCAUCGGUCAGUAUAGCCAGAUCUGCAGUCAGGCUCCUGUCCAGCCCUGCUCAGUGAAGGGCUAUGUGGUGAGCACCACGUGAUAGCACAGCAGAGAUGCAACGCCUGCAACGUGGAACUGGCUCACAUCGGAACAGUGGAUUUAGAGCCCAGGCUUGAGGACAAGAUCAAGUAAUGAACAUCCACUGGGCAUACAUUGGGUCCCUUUCCACAUUGCACAUCUGUCAAUGUGCAAUUGAUGAGCAAGGGAGAUUGCCCUGUUUUACAGUCAAGAAAACUGAACAGAAAGGAGAGAAGCUUGCCCAAGGACACA